GUCUUUGUAGCUUACAACAAAGCAUGGCACUGAAGAUGCCAAGACGGCUGUCAAAACACCCAAAGACA
rnacentral:tRNA from 1 species